rnacentral:rRNA from 1 species
AAGUCGUAACAAGGUCUCCGUUGGUGAACCAGCGGAGGGAUCAUUACUGAGUUUACGCUCUAUAACCCUUUGUGAACAUACCUAUAACUGUUGCUUCGGCGGGUAGGGUCUCCGCGACCCUCCCGGCCUCCCGCCCCCGGGCGGGUCGGCGCCCGCCGGAGGAUAACCAAACUCUGAUUUAACGACGUUUCUUCUGAGUGGUACAAGCAAAUAAUCAAAACUUUUAACAACGGAUCUCUUGGUUCUGGCAUCGAUGAAGAACGCAGCGAAAUGCGAUAAGUAAUGUGAAUUGCAGAAUUCAGUGAAUCAUCGAAUCUUUGAACGCACAUUGCGCCCGCCAGCAUUCUGGCGGGCAUGCCUGUUCGAGCGUCAUUUCAACCCUCAAGCUCCGCUUGGUGUUGGGGCCCUACAGCUGAUGUAGGCCCUCAAAGGUAGUGGCGGACCCUCCCGGAGCCUCCUUUGCGUAGUAACUUUACGUCUCGCACUGGGAUCCGGAGGGACUCUUGCCGUAAAACCCCCCGAUUUUCCAAAGGUUGACCUCGGAUCAGGUAGGAAUACCCGCUGAACUUAA